AGAGUUUGAUCAUGGCUCAGGACGAACGCUGGCGGCGUGCUUAACACAUGCAAGUCGAGCGGAAAGGCCCUUCGGGGUACUCGAGCGGCGAACGGGUGAGUAACACGUGAGUAACCUGCCCCUAGCUCUGGGAUAGCUCCGGGAAACCGGGAUUAAUACCAGAUACGACCACUUUAGACAUCUGUCGUGGUGGAAAGGAUUCCGGCUAGGGAUGGGCUCGCGGCCUAUCAGCUUGUUGGUGGGGUAACGGCCUACCAAGGCGACGACGGGUAGCCGGCCUGAGAGGGCGACCGGCCACACUGGGACUGAGACACGGCCCAGACUCCUACGGGAGGCAGCAGUGGGGAAUAUUGCGCAAUGGGCGAAAGCCUGACGCAGCGACGCCGCGUGGGGGAUGAAGGCCUUCGGGUUGUAAACCCCUUUCAGCAGGGACGAAGCGAGAGUGACGGUACCUGCAGAAGAAGCGCCGGCUAACUACGUGCCAGCAGCCGCGGUAACACGUAGGGCGCAAGCGUUGUCCGGAAUUAUUGGGCGUAAAGAGCUCGUAGGCGGUCUGUUGCGUCCGCUGUGAAAUCUCGGGGCUUAACCCCGAGCCUGCAGUGGAUACGGGCAGACUAGAGGUAGGUAGGGGAGAAUGGAAUUCCUGGUGUAGCGGUGAAAUGCGCAGAUAUCAGGAGGAACACCGGUGGCGAAGGCGGUUCUCUGGGCCUUACCUGACGCUGAGGAGCGAAAGCGUGGGGAGCGAACAGGAUUAGAUACCCCAGUAGUCC
rnacentral:rRNA from 1 species